AAUUGCUCCGAACUUAAUUAAACGCGGUUCGGUUAAUUGUGCUGAUUUGGAGCGGGGAGAGUGGCCUGCGACUGGCAGAGGAUCGAGCAAACGACGGAUCGUGCCCCAUACUAAUCCGAUCCCUUAUAGAAAUCCAACAUUAAAUCCCAAACUUUUUUCUGCCUCUCGCCUCUCUUUCGCCUCCUCUCCCUACACCACCCCCAUCGUCGAGGCGACCGCGACGCACGUACUCCGUUUCAAGUAGCUUUUUCGCGUCCAAUUCUUUCGCCAAUUACGGCUCAAAGCUGUUAAAACGAUAGUUUAAAUGGCCAUGUGUUGCACGGCGAGUGUUUAACGUAUGGAUUUGAGCGCUAGGACGCGUCAAAAGGGGGUCUGCUGGGCGGCGAGGGAGGAGGGGGUGCGAGUGUUUCUAAUACAUCUGUAAACGGAGCCCACGUUCAUUAAUUAAAUGGCUUUAGUCCGGCUAGGCCUCAAUUUGCGCUGUUGAGCAGCAGGCGGCGGGCGGUGCAACACUACAUGCCCGAUUGGCAGCCCACAAUCAGAGGGGCAAGGAAAUAACUCGAGGCCGAGGGUUUGGAUGUGAAGCCUGGAGGAGUCUGGAGAGACGGUGUGCAGUGAAAGGAAUGGGGUGGCAGAGUGGUUGUGUCCCUUGUGCCAAAAAGGGCAACCAGACAGAUCUUCCCUGUCUCUACAUCUCACAGAGCAACACAGCGUUCUUCCAUCGUGUGUUGACAGACUGCUAGACAUUGCCGUUCUAAAACAGGCUGCCAGUGGACAAGAAGAGGACAAAGGUGCUCUAAAGUCCUCAGAUGCUGAAUCUUCACCACUGAAGCACGCUGAAGACGUCAGUUCAGACCCCUGCCAAUCUAGCGAGAGUGCAGACGCUACCCAGACGCUUGGAGACAAAGAGAUGGAGGAAGAGAAGAGAAUAAUCGAACAGGAGGGAGGUGAGGCUGAGCCGGAGCCAGAAGAGGAGGGAAAUCCACUCACCGGAGCCAAACAGCAAAAUGCAACUGAAAACACAGAAAUCCCAGACGCUGGUGAAAAGUCAGUUGGUAAAAAUGGUGUGCCAGCUGAAAAUAACACCCGCUCAUUCAAAUGCAAUGCCUGUCUGGAAAGUUUUCCCAGUAGAACUGCCUUGAGUGUUCAUUACAACUCUGCAUCCCACAUUCAGAGGAUGACAACUGGCUCCGCAAAGCAAGGUCCAGAAAGUAAGCCUAAGCCUCCAUCAGUUCAUGUCCUGUCUCGGCCAUAUAUUUCCAACAAACCCUACCAGUGUGCUGUGUGUCGAGUCUCUUACAAUCAUGCCAUCACCCUCGAGAGCCAUAUGAAAUCUGUGCUGCACCAAACCCGCAGCAGAAAUGCUGGAAUUGCUGCAAACAAUGCAGCAGCUACUGCUACACUGAGAGGCAGCACCAGCUCUCCAAGCCCUGUAGUGACCACAUCUGGAAGUGGAACCAGUCAGUUAGUUACGUCCACCAACUGUGCUGCUCCCGGGACAUUGAUGGUGACGACUACAAAAGAAGGAGAGCAGAUUUCAACCUCACAAGUGGCUCCCUCCCUCCUCACCUCCCCUGUGGCCUCCGCUCAGGCGGUCUCAGCCUUUCUCACCCUCCUUACAUCAAGUCCCAACACGCUCUCACACUCCCUCCUCCCCUCCCUGUUCGCAGCUGGUGCUGCUCCUGGUGCCGCUGCACCUCAGCUCGUGCCUCAGCCUCAAAUGGUCAUGCCCUUGAUCUUAAACGGGCUGCAAGCCCAAACUCAGCAGCACCAAGAGAACCAGCAAGGCCAGCUCCUCACCCAGUGUGUGCCAUUUGUAGGUCUCAGCACAGCCCAGCAAGCUCUCCUAACCCAAAGACUUAACAGCUUACAGAACCAGUGGCCCUCUGCAGGUGUCCCAACAAACAUGCAGGCCUGCAACGAAGAGCAGACACAGACUGUAGAGAGUGACAGAGGACAAGAACGGCUGGACAGUGAUGAGACAGUUGAAGAGAAGGGCUCAGAUCAGGUCAAAGAUGGGAAUAACUGCUCUGCUGGGAAACCUAAGGAAGAGAGCAGUAAAGAAUUUGCACAGAGUCCUAAUAUAGAAAGCAAAGUGAAGGUUGAGAAUAAUGAAGACAAUGGGAAGCCACAUGGAGAUAGCACAACAGAUGGAGACAGCUCAACUAAUCAGUUGGACCUGGAAGGUGAUAAAGCGGCUAGCCUGAAUCUCUCUCCAGCGGGCACAGAGAAGAGCCUCCGCAAUAACAACCUCUCGCCUUCUGCAUCUGUGCCCAGCAACUCAAGCCUCAGUCCUGUGAAUUUAAACCUGACGCUUAGCCCUGAUUCUACUCCUCAAAAAUCGCAAUCAGGCACAAGCCCUUGUGGCUCUGUUGGCACCCCAAAAUCCAGCCCGAGUACAAAUGCCUUAACUAUCAACCAAACUCGACUCCAUUGUAAUACAAUGGGAUCCUUUUAUCCAGACCUUCCAGUGCUGUCAGAGUUCCAAUCUGAGGUUCUCUGGGCGUUCUUUGAGUCGCGUAGUGAGGCUGAUGCUGCGAGUCCUCCCCAUGAGGACUGCGAGGCGCUGGGCAGAGAGGUGGGUCUUUCAGAGGACGAGGUACGUAGGUGGCUGACCCAAGCCCGCCACGCCAAACAGAGACAGAGGGCGACAGAGAUAGAUCACCAGGUAGAAUUUUUGAGACACAGCCAGGGUUCUGAUAAUGACUAUGAUGAUGAGGAAAACUCACUGAUUAUAGCAGAGGGUGAGGAUGAUGCUGAAGCUUCAGGCAGUCAGGCAAUAGAUCUGUCCAGUACAAGAGGAAAACGCAAACACAGAGACUUGGGAAGGGAGGGUCAGGGGGAUUCGUGUCUCACAUCUGACUCUGAAAAUGAGGUUUACACCUCAGUUAUUGUUUCUGAUGAGGAAAGUCAGAAUGGGUCUUUUAGGGAGGGACCUGAAAGCCCUGCGAAAGAUGAAGCACAGCGGGAGGUCCAUGGCGAUAAGGGGUCAGUUGGAGGAAAGGUGUUGCGCUCCACAACUGUUUUUCUGUCUGAUGCAGAAGAUGAAUAUGAAGACGAGGAGGGUGGAGGUGGUCAGAGGGCCCAGAGGAAAAACGAAAGAGAGAGUUUGAACGCGAUGAGGUGGAGGUGAAGAAAGAGAGACAGGACCCAGAUGUGGAUCUCGAAUUGGAGGCUCAAGGAGAUCCCCCAAGUUCACAGUCACACGCUAUGGACCACCAUGAGAUUCCAACCAGUGCUCUCCACUCGCUUCCAUUAUCCCUCGCUCCCUUUUCUACUCAAUUUCUCAGCCCCUAUGUUCUCUCUCUUACUCCUUCCAUGGUUGGAGAUGGGAGCAAAAUACCCAUCUUUCCUAACCCACCAACCAUCACACGCUUCUCCAGCUCCCUUCUUUCACAGUCUCUGUCCUCCCACAACCAAACUUCUCACUACCUGUCCAAUGGUGACGACUGUGAGUCUGCUUUGGAUCUCAGUAUGGGAAAAAACAACUCAAAAUCCGCUUCUUCCUCAUCUCUGGCUGACAGAAUUGCGGCACAGAAGGGACAGUUGCUGGACGGGCUCGGCCUGAGGCCCACAUCCAAAGGUCUGGUAGUCGUCCAGGUUAAGCCUGAACCCGUCACUGGUAUGCCCUCUUCCAACAUGAGUCUGGUCAACUGCAGUAAUAUGACGAAGUCUAGUAUUUACAUGAGGGCAGCAGAGAAAAUGAACGCUACGCUGUUGGAAAGGGAACAAGAAAAGGAGCGGGAGAAGGAAAAAGAGAGGGAGCAGGACCAGCAGCAGAGGAAGUCCAAAGGAAAAGAUACCGAGAUAUGCGGCGUUCAAGGACCAUCAUUCAAGCUGAACAACUUGACAUUCUGUAUGGCUGCUAUUUCAAAGACCCAAAUCCUGGGAAACAUGAGUUUGAACAGAUUUCAGAGUGGGUCCACCUUCCAAAGAAGGUUGUUCAGAUUUGGUUCCAGAACAUGAGGGCGAGGGAAAGAAAAGGUGAGGUCCGAUUCAUCAGCGAUGGCACCUUGGCUGCAGUUGGCAAACCCCUCAUCAAAUUCACUUGGCCUCUCUCCAAACCCAUAUUCUCCAACAAACCUGCUUCAAACAAUACUGGGAGCAACACUGGGAGCAUUACUACUGCUCCAAUUGUGCGUACCCUCAUAAAGACAGACAGAGAGCCUGUAAAGGAGUUAAGCAAACCAGCUGUGGUGAAAAAAAUAACUCCUGUUCCUAUCAAACCCAAGGAGAUAGUUUCCUCAACCGCAGUGCCAAAGACCAAGCUCGAAACCACCAGCAACGUCACUAUGGUUAAAGUUGCACCCAAAGUCAAUACCCCUGUCCUUUUAGCACCACCUAAGGAUCUCGUUCCCAUCGCACCACGACCGGCCCAGAAAAGAAAGCAGGACGAGGAGAGCGAGGAGGAAAAAACUGACGAGGAGAAUGAAAAUGAGAGGGGUCCUGGACCAGGGACCACAAACCGCAUGGUCCCGAAGCUGCCCACAACCCCCAUCAACAACAGGCCCGCAGCCUCAACGGUGGUGCCACAGAAACAGAAUGGGCUGAACUACUGGACCCCCAAAGUCCCCAUCAAGAUCAACACUCUAUCAAGAGAGCAACUGGCUCUUCCCACACACACAGCUCCUCGUACCAUCCCCCUCCUCCCACCCCCAGCAUUGCACCAGUCAGCCCAAAUACCCCCAGCUCUGCCAAAGUGGCCAGCCCCUCCACGCCGGUUGUAGCUAAAUCAAGCCCAACAGAAAGCAGCUUUCUGCCCCACUCAUCCAGUCGUAGGCCACGCACUCACUUGUCCUGCCUACAGCUGUCCAUUCUGCAGUCGUGUUACGAGACCUGCGCCCACCCUAAUGCCAUGGAGUGCGAGGCAAUUGGCACCGAGCUCAACCUGCCGCUCAAGGUGGUGCAGAUCUGGUUCCAAAACACGAGAGCCAAGGAGAAGCGCUGGAGGCUGCAGCAGGAGAAAAUGUCUCCUCUGUCAGGUGGGAAAGUGGACAUGAGCUCAGGAAGCUACCUGCAGUACAACGCUCUCAAAGCCAACCGGCCCAUCCUUCCUAAGCCUGUUCAGCUCACAGUUACUGAACCUCCAGCUUCCCCCGUGGCCGGCCAGCCAGUGCCAAAGGAGACGCUGACGGGCCGCUGCGACGCCUGCAACGUCUCCUUUGAAUCCCGGGCCGCGGCAAGAGCCCACGUCUUCUCCCCGCGUCACCUGGCAACCCUGAGAACCACUAACUUUGGCCAGCCGACAGCACUCGUCAACAAGAACGGGACCGGUAACAGCGGUGCUCCGGGCUCUCUUUCCACUACUGUAACCAGCUCCGGUUCUGCAGGGGAGAUAGUCGUCGAGUUGCCUGCAGCGACGGCCACCAGCAACAGUUAAAGACUCAGAUCAUGAUUGGUCUGCACACUGACUAUCGUUGGACCCAUUUGGGCUCCUCAGAUUUUAAUAAACAAAUUUGAGCACUAAUCCUCAAAAGCUAAUAUUCUUUAGUUUUUGACGCCGGCUCCCCCUGCCCCCUCUGUCCUUUGCUCUACCUUCACUGACUCGAUAUCCGUUAACCUGCAGAGUUCACCCGGAAUCGAAUACAACAGCAGACUCUUUCCAUGCUGCUUGUCACUUAAUCAGUUGCUGUCUGAUGAGUGAUAAAACCCUCUCAAGUUCCCCUCGAUCCUCGCACACUUUAUCCAUACAUUUUUGGUCCUAACCCUGUGGUGAUGUAUUACCUUACUUCUAUGACCUUCCUUCCUAGAAUUUGUAAAGGCACCAACUUGCCAUGCUUGAGCUGUUCUACCCUACAGACUGAUGCAAGUGUUUCCCUUUUGGCAGCGGCCACGGCGGGCCCGGAAACACUUUUUGGGAUAAUAACAUAAAAUACUCACAUUAAUAACUCCCAGUUUGCUCCUGUGGAAUUGUUUCUUUUUCAUGCCUACUUUCACUUCAAGGGCAACGAUUGCUUGGAUAUUGUGUGACUGAACUGAACCAUUGGGAGAGGAAGAACUGGUAUUGUAACUGUCACCUUUUUGGUUUUUUUUUUUUGCUACAGGAGUGUGAUCUGAAGAGUGUUGUCUGCUCAUUUGGGAUAUAAAAGAGGUACUUUAGAGAGAAUAGAGCUGUUGAAUUGUCCCCAUUUCCACGUUCAUAGUUUCACGACAAUCCAAAUAGACAGCGCAAAAAGAGGCUGAGGAAAGUAGAACUUUAGCAUACCGCACUUUGACAGAUUUUACAUUGUUUGAAAUGUUUUUAAGCAUUCUAAUGCAGGUGUCUUUUUAUGGAAAGAUACAAUAAUGCAUGUCGGAUGCCUUAAGAGAAGUCACGUAAAAAGAAAAAAGAUUUUUGCUAAUCAAAUGAAACGUGCUUUAGAUGCGAGCAUAAUAAUUGUGCAAAAAUCAAAUCUGGGUAUGCAAAUGAAGAGCUUUGUUCCAAAAUGUUUUUACAUCCAUUUUAUUUUUUGGGGGGGACAUCUCUGAAUGUUAUAUUCUACAUCUAGAGCAUAGCAAAUCCUGCCUGUGAAGUUGUCAGCAUUCUCUUGGCCAAGGACUGUAUUCAGCCAUCUUGCUUUUUACAUCAAAUGUUUUUUGAUGCUGUAAAUUUCACUCUUCUCCCCCCCCCCAAAUGCGUGUGUCAUUUUGGAGCAUAGCUCUUCAGGCCUGUUGGGGAAGAUAAAUGUUUUUACACCUACUGUAGGUGUGUUAGAAAUAUGACCGCCUUAAGAGGAAACACCACCAGGUAUAUAAAUUCAAGCCCAGGUGAUCCUCGUGUAACACUGGUGAAUUAAUUUCACCCUCAUCUGGCAUGGAGGGUCAGACUGAUUUCCUAAAUUUUCUUUGCCAUGAAUACUGUGUGUGAGACAGAAAAGUUACAUACUCAUUUUAUUUAGUCCAAUAUUUAUACAAACAGAAGCAAUUAAAAACUGGCAUAACAGAUUUUUGUUUAGGUCAAAAGCCAAACCUCUGGAAAUGAGAGAACUGGGCUUAAAACGAGCUGUUUCCCAUCCUUGUUUUUCCCUCAUUUUGUUCAAUUUCGAAGCAGAGAUAGUGGUUCUGGUAAUGUAUGUGCUGUGAAAUGAGAUCUUAUAUGUGGAAACCAUGACAAGGGAGAUGGUUGGGUAUUACUAGUUUCUUUAAGGGACUAAUAUGUACUCAAAUCUAGGAAGCAAAUUAGGAAAAAAUAAAAUGCGUUGACUGAGAGCUAAUAAGAUGGUGCUGUGUUGAAGGACACAUAACAUACUAAAGAUGUUUUCCUUCAAUUUAAGUUGUAUAUUAAUGUUACUAUUGAUAGUUUUAACAAAAUGCAAAACUAAAACAUGAACUUUUUGUAAAGAAAUAUAUUAAAAAUAACUGAUAUUCCAAAGUAAUCCUCCCUUUGCUUUCUGUCAUUCAAAAACCAAAAAGCAAUCUUUAGGUCGACAGAGAGCAGGAGAGGUGUUCGUAAAAAUGCAAACUGUAAAGGACAUCCCACGGCUUGACACUUGCACUAGUCCACAAUUUUUGCACAAGCUACAGACGUUUCAAAUGUACACAGCCAUUACCACAACAUUAAGGGUCGCUUGGUGUGGUUUUGAAACAGGGAGGGAAGCAAAUGUCCUUUGAUGAAUAAUAAUUGGAAACUGUAUCUUGUGUGUAAAGCAAGGACUGGAGUGCUUGAACCUCAAGACUGGGAUUACACACACACGCACACACACAGACACGGUGUUGCACUGUCCAAACUAGAUACGUUUUUAUGGAGAUCUGCUUUUUAUUCUCUUAUGUUUCAUUGUCACUUUGAUUAUCACUAUUGUUAUAACUGUACUACUACUUAUACGAUUUAUUCUUACUACUCAUCACUGUUUUUGAUUAUUAUUGAUCCAUAAUGGUUUUAAACGCCACCUUUCUGCUCAAAAAGAGUAUGGUAUUCCUCUGAAUAUUGAACAAUAAUAGUGGCAGUGUUGUUAUGACUUGUUAGAUUUUUGAUUAAGCUUAUUUUUCCUCCUCACUUGUACCUGCCUUCUUUGUGUUUGGUCUCCAUUAUGCUUUCUUUGAUAUACAGAAAAAAAAUAAAAUCAGUUGAACAACA